UGGGGAAUCUUGCGCAAUGGCCGAAAGGCUGACGCAGCGACGCCGCGUGUGGGAGGACGCCCUUCGGGGUGUAAACCACUGUUGCCCGGGACGAACCUCCUCUUUCGAGAGGACUGACGGUACCGGGUGAGGAAGCACCGGCUAACUCCGUGCCAGCAGCCGCGGUAAUACGGAGGGUGCGAGCGUUGUCCGGAAUCACUGGGCGUAAAGGGCGCGUAGGCGGCGCGGGAAGUCGUCGGGUGAAAGCUUAGGGCUCAACUCUGAGUCGGCCGGUGAUACUCUCGUGCUUGAGCACUGUAGAGGCAGGUGGAAUUCCGGGUGUAGCGGUGGAAUGCGUAGAGAUCCGGAAGAACACCGGUGGCGAAGGCGGCCUGCUGGGCAGUAGCUGACGCUGAUGCGCGACAGCGUGGGGAGCAAACAGGAUUAGAUACCCUGGUAGUCCACGCCGUAAACGAUGGGCACUAGGUGCUUGGGGGAGCGACCCUCUGAGUGCCGGCGCUAACGCAUUAAGUGCCCC
rnacentral:rRNA from 1 species